GACGAACGCUGGCGGCGUGCUUAACACAUGCAAGUCGAACGGAAAGGCCCCUUUGGGGUUACUCGAGUGGCGAACGGGUGAGUAACACGUGCGUAACCUGCCCUUGCCUUCGGGAUAACUUCAGGCAACUGGGGCUAAUACCGGCUAGGAAUCCUUGCUGCCUGGUGGGGGUUGGAAAGCUUCGUCGGUUUUGGAUGGACUCGCGGCUUAUCAGCUUGUUGGUGGGGUAGUGGCUUACCAAGGCUUUGACGGGUAGCCGGCCUGAGAGGGCGACCGGCCACAUUGGGACUGAGAUACGGCCCAGACUCCUACGGGAAGCAGCAGGGGGGAAUAUUGCAAAAUGGGCGGAAGCCUGAUGCAGCAACGCCGCGUGCGGGAUGACGGCCUUCGGGUUGUAAACCGCUUUCAGCAGGGGAGAAGCUUGGGGUGACGGUACCUGCAGAAGAAGCACCGGCUAACUACGUG
rnacentral:rRNA from 1 species